ensembl:piRNA 21ur-12630 ncRNA
UUUUGUCGAGACUCAUUGUUA